GUGUACCGGAAGGUGCACCUGGAAAGUCAGAAUAGAGCUUGAUUAGUUAAGCAUUUCAUUUACACUGAAAAUACACUGUGCAAUUCAGUUUUUUCUGAGAAGUUUUAUCUUACUUUGUUUUUUUGAGUAAAAGAUUUAAUAAUAAAAUUAUUUUUAAAAUUAAGAGUUUUUGUAUAGAAUAUAGAAAAAAUUGUUUAAGUGGUAGGUUAAUUGUAUCGUGAGAGAUUGAUUGAAAUAAUUUGAAAAUAUAUUUUUAUAAAAGUAGACUUUUUGUUGUACCUUGUGUAUCAGGGUUUAUUAAAAAAAUUAUAUAAAUUUAUAUGUUCCCGAUUUGAAGAGAGCUAAAUAAUUAUGUUAGUUAAUGUGGAAUAAUUAUUAAAAAUAGUUAUUUAGUAAUGAAACGUUAUCCGUUCUUUAAGAUAUCUGGUUUUCUAAGAAAUGAAUUUAAUUCAGGUAAUUAAUUUUAAUAAUUUAAUUUAUUAAAUGAGUUAUUAUUAAUUACUAAUAUUCUGGGGGAUAAGCUUCAGAAUAGGUUUUAUAAUUUUGUUUUUUUUAAAAAAAUUUUGUAGGCUUAGAAUUAGCUAUCUAUUAAAGGAUGUUAUAAUUUAAUUUUUGAAAAAUUCAAUUUUAAGAAAAUUUAAUUUUUAUAUUAGAACUAUUUUUUUAAUUUUUAAUUAAAUUGUGAUAAUGAUAAAAUUAGUAUAUUAGUAGUUUAAAUAAUUUAGAGAUGUUAGGUCACAUUAAGGAAUUAGGCAAAUUAAUACUCGCCUGUUUAACAAAAACAUGUCUUCUUGAAUAUAAUUUGAAGUCUGACCUGCCCACUGAAUUUAACAUUUAAAGGGCCGCGGUAUUUUGACCGUGCAAAGGUAGCAUAAUCAUUAGUCUUUUAAUUGAAGGCUAGAAUGAAUGGUUGGACGAGGUAUUGACUGUCUCAGUGUGAUUGGGAAUAGAAUUUAACUUUUAAGUCAAAAGGCUUAAAUACGUUAAAG
rnacentral:rRNA from 1 species